rnacentral:rRNA from 1 species
UACAGAGGUCUCAAGCGUUGUUCGGAUUCAUUGGGCGUAAAGGGUGCGUAGGCGGCGUGGUAAGUCGGGUGUGAAAUCUCGGAGCUUAACUCCGAAACUGCAUUCGAUACUGCCGUGCUUGAGGACUGGAGAGGAGACUGGAAUUUACGGUGUAGCGGUGAAAUGCGUAGAUAUCGAGAGGAACACCUGCGGCGAAGGCGGGUUGCUGGGCUGACACUGACGCUGAUGUGCGAAAGCUAGGGGAGCGAACGGG